rnacentral:pre_miRNA from 14 species
GUCUAGGACCCCUGGGUGGUCGCGCAGAUCCCGGACGAGCCCCCAAAUGAAAGACCCCCGAAGGGAGCCCCCCACUCAAGUCUCGGGAAAGGCGCGCACCCAGUAGGACACAGACACCA